GUAGGUGGCAAGCGUUGUCCGGAAUUAUUGGGCGUAAAGCGCGCGCAGGCGGUCCUUUAAGUCUGAUGUGAAAGCCCACGGCUCAACCGUGGAGGGUCAUUGGAAACUGGGGGACUUGAGUACAGAAGAGGAAAGCGGAAUUCCAAGUGUAGCGGUGAAAUGCGUAGAGAUUUGGAGGAACACCAGUGGCGAAGGCGGCUUUCUGGUCUGUAACUGACGCUGAGGCGCGAAAGCGUGGGGAGCAAACAGGGAUUAGAUACCCUGGUAGUCCACGCCGUAAACGAUGAGUGCUAAGUGUUAGGGGGGUUUCCCGCCCCUUAGUGCUGCAGCUAACGCAUUAAGCACUCCGCCUGGGGGAUACGGCCCGCAAGGCUG
rnacentral:rRNA from 1 species